ACUAUACCCCACUCCCUCUAACAUGUAAGCUCAUUGAGCAGGGCCCUCAACCCCUCUGUUACUGUGUCACUAUACCCCACUCCCUCUAACAUGUAAACUCACUGAGCAGGCCCUCAAUCCCUCUGUUACUGUGUCAUUAUACCCCACUCGCUCUAACAUGUAAACUCACUGAGCAGGGCCUCAAUCCCUCUGUUACUGUCACUAUACCCCACUCCCUCUAACAUGUAAACUCACUGAGCAGGCCCUCAAUCCCUCUGUUACUGUGUCAGUAUACCCCACUCCCUCUAACAUGUAAGCUCACUGAGCAGGGCCCUCAAUC
rnacentral:lncRNA from 1 species